rnacentral:rRNA from 1 species
GAUGAACGCUGGCGGCGUGCCUCAUCCCUGCACGUCGAGCGAACAGACGAGGAGCUUGCUCCUCUGACGUUAGCGGCGGACGGGUGAGUAACACGUGGAUAACCUACCUAUAAGACUGGGAUAACUUCGGGAAACCGGAGCUAAUACCGGAUAAUAUAUUGAACCGCAUGGUUCAAUAGUGAAAGACGGUUUUGCUGUCACUUAUAGAUGGAUCCGCGCCGCAUUAGCUAGUUGGUAAGGUAACGGCUUACCAAGGCAACGAUGCGUAGCCGACCUGAGAGGGUGAUCGGCCACACUGGAACUGAGACACGGUCCAGACUCCUACGGGAGGCAGCAGUAGGGAAUCUUCCGCAAUGGGCGAAAGCCUGACGGAGCAACGCCGCGUGAGUGAUGAAGGUCUUCGGAUCGUAAAACUCUGUGAUUAGGGAAGAACAAAUGUGUAAGUAACUAUGCACGUCUUGACGGUACCUAAUCAGAAAGCCACGGCUAACUACGUG